rnacentral:misc_RNA from 1 species
AAGUCGUAACAAGGUUUCCGUAGGUGAACCUGCGGAAGGAUCAUCACUGAUUCGCGGGGGAGUGUGUGUGUGUGCGUGCGUGUGUUCUCUCUCACGCAUGCGCCACGCGCCACCCCAACCAAUCUUUUGUGCACGGUUUCACGGUCAACGAGACGCUGCGCGUGUGUGUGUUGGCAAGUGUGUGUGUGUGUGUGUGUCCUCCCACCCUAGUAUGGGUGGUGUGGUGACUACACUACUACUUGCCAACCGCAUGCGUCUGUGUGCGUUCUCUGCUUGCAAUCUCUUGUGCAAUCUCUGUCUAACGUUACCUAAAUUUUAACACAAUACAACUUUCAACAAUGGAUCUCUUGGCUCUC